GACGAACGCUGGCGGCGUGCUUAACACAUGCAAGUCGAACGGAAAGGCCCUGCUUUUGUGGGGUGCUCGAGUGGCGAACGGGUGAGUAACACGUGAGUAACCUGCCCUUGACUUUGGGAUAACUUCAGGAAACUGGGGCUAAUACCGGAUAGGAUCUCCUGCUCCAUGGUGGGGGUUGGAAAGUUUCGGCGGUUGGGGAUGGACUCGCGGCUUAUCAGCUUGUUGGUGGGGUAGUGGCUUACCAAGGCUUUGACGGGUAGCCGGCCUGAGAGGGUGACCGGCCACAUUGGGACUGAGAUACGGCCCAGACUCCUACGGGAGGCAGAAGUGGGGAAUAUUGCACAAUGGGCGGAAGCCGGAUGCAGCAACGCCGCGUGCGGGAUGACGGCCUUCGGGUUGUAAACCGCUUUAGCCUGUGACGAAGCGUGAGUGACGGUAAUGGGUAAAGAAGCACCGGCUAACUACGUG
rnacentral:rRNA from 1 species